ACCGGCGGUACGGCCAGCUCCCUGUGAACUCCCCCAGGGCCGGAAGGCAGCAAGGGUAGCAGGUUGUAGCGGCGCGAUACCGCCUUUUUU
rnacentral:SRP_RNA from 1 species